AGAGUUUGAUCCUGGCUCAGGAUUAACGCUAGCGACAGGCUUAACACAUGCAAGUCGAGGGGCAGCAUAAGGUAGCAAUACUUUGAUGGCGACCGGCGCACGGGUGAGUAACGCGUAUGCAACCUACCUAUCAGAGGGGAAUAACCCGGCGAAAGUCGGACUAAUACCGCAUAAAACAGGGGUUCCGCAUGGAAAUAUUUGUUAAAGAAUUAUCGCUGAUAGAUGGGCAUGCGUUCCAUUAGAUAGUUGGUGAGGUAACGGCUCACCAAGUCUACGAUGGAUAGGGGUUCUGAGAGGAAGGUCCCCCACACUGGUACUGAGACACGGACCAGACUCCUACGGGAGGCAGCAGUGAGGAAUAUUGGUCAAUGGGCGAGAGCCUGAACCAGCCAAGUCGCGUGAAGGAUGAAGGAUCUAUGGUUUGUAAACUUCUUUUAUAUGGGAAUAAAGUGAGGAACGUGUUCCUUUUUGUAUGUACCAUAUGAAUAAGCAUCGGCUAACUCCGUGCCAGCAGCCGCGGU
rnacentral:rRNA from 1 species